UGGGGAAUAUUGCACAAUGGGCGCAAGCCUGAUGCAGCGACCCCGCGUGAGGGAUGGAGGCCUUCGGGUUGUAAACCUCUUUUAUCGGGGAGCAAGCGAGAGUGAGUUUACCCGUUGAAUAAGCACCGGCUAACUACGUGCCAGCAGCCGCGGUAAUACGUAGGGUGCAAGCGUUAUCCGGAAUUAUUGGGCGUAAAGGGCUCGUAGGCGGUUCGUCGCGUCCGGUGUGAAAGUCCAUCGCUUAACGGUGGAUCCGCGCCGGGUACGGGCGGGCUUGAGUGCGGUAGGGGAGACUGGAAUUCCCGGUGUAACGGUGGAAUGUGUAGAUAUCGGGAAGAACACCAAUGGCGAAGGCAGGUCUCUGGGCCGUUACUGACGCUGAGGAGCGAAAGCGUGGGGAGCGAACAGGAUUAGAUACCCUGGUAGUCCACGCCGUAAACGGUGGAUGCUGGAUGUGGGGCCCGUUCCACGGGUUCCGUGUCGGAGCUAACGCGUUAAGCAUCCCGCCUGGGGAGUACGGCCGCAAGGCUAAAACUCAAAGAAAUUGACGGGGGCCCGCACAAGCGGCGGAGCAUGCGGAUUAAUUCGAUGCAACGCGAAGAACCUUACCUGGGCUUGACAUGUUCCCGACGGUCGUAGAGAUACGGCUUCCCUUCGGGGCGGGUUCACAGGUGGUGCAUGGUCGUCGUCAGCUCGUGUCGUGAGAUGUUGGGUUAAGUCCCGCAACGAGCGCAACCCUCGCCCCGUGUUGCCAGCGGAUUAUGCCGGGAACUCACGGGGGACCGCCGGGGUUAACUCGGAGGAAGGUGGGGAUGACGUCAGAUCAUCAUGCCCCUUACGUCCAGGGCUUCACGCAUGCUACAAUGGCCGGUACAACGGGAUGCGACGCGGCGACGCGGAGCGGAUCCCUGAAAACCGGUCUCAGUUCGGAUCGCAGUCUGCAACUCGACUGCGUGAAGGCGGAGUCGCUAGUAAUCGCGAAUCAGCAACGUCGCGGUGAAUGCGUUCCC
rnacentral:rRNA from 2 species